rnacentral:rRNA from 1 species
UGGGUCUAAUACCGGAUAUGACCUUCCAUCGCAUGGUGGUUGGUGGAAAGCUUUUUGUGGUUUUGGAUGGACUCGCGGCCUAUCAGCUUGUUGGUGAGGUAAUGGCUUACCAAGGCGACGACGGGUAGCCGGCCUGAGAGGGUGACCGGCCACACUGGGACUGAGACACGGCCCAGACUCCUACGGGAGGCAGCAGUGGGGAAUAUUGCACAAUGGGCGCAAGCCUGAUGCAGCGACGCCGCGUGAGGGAUGACGGCCUUCGGGUUGUAAACCUCUUUCAGUAGGGAAGAAGCGAAAGUGACGGUACCUGCAGAAGAAGCGCCGGCUAACUACGUGCCAGCAGCCGCGGUAAUACGUAGGGCGCAAGCGUUAUCCGGAAUUAUUGGGCGUAAAGAGCUCGUAGGCGGUUUGUCGCGUCUGCCGUGAAAGUCCGGGGCUCAACUCCGGAUCUGCGGUGGGUACGGGCAGACUAGAGUGAUGUAGGGGAGACUGGAAUUCCUGGUGUAGCGGUGAAAUGCGCAGAUAUCAGGAGGAACACCGAUGGC